AUUGAACGCUGGCGGCAGGCCUAACACAUGCAGGUCGAACGGUAACAGGAAGCAGCUUGCUGCUUCGCUGACGAGUGGCGGACGGGUGAGUAAUGUCUGGGAAGCUGCCUGAUGGAGGGGGAUAACUACUGGAAACGGUAGCUAAUACCGCAUAAUGUCGCAAGACCAAAGAGGGGGACCUUCGGGCCUCUUGCCAUCGGAUGUGCCCAGAUGGGAUUAGCUUGUUGGUGGGGUAACGGCUCACCAAGGCGACGAUCCCUAGCUGGUCUGAGAGGAUGACCAGCCACACUGGAACUGAGACACGGUCCAGACUCCUACGGGAGGCAGCAGUGGGGAAUAUUGCACAAAGGGCGCAAGCCUGAUGCAGCCAUGCCGCGUGUAUGAAGAAGGCCUUCGGGUUGUAAAGUACUUUCAGCGGGGAGGAAGGGAGUAAAGUUAAUACCUUUGCUCAUUGACGUUACCCGCAGAAGAAGCACCGGCUAACUCCGUG
rnacentral:rRNA from 1 species